rnacentral:pre_miRNA from 1 species
UAUCUACUCCCUCCGUUCGGAAUUACUUGCCGCAGAAAUGGAUGUAUCUAGAUGUAUUUUAAUUCUAGAUACAUCCAUUUCCGAGACAAGUAAUUCCGAACGGAGGGAGUAUAAG